AUUGAACGCUGGCGGCAGGCCUAACACAUGCAAGUCGAACGAGUGGCGGACGGGUGAGUAAUGUCUGGGAAACUGCCUGAUGGAGGGGGAUAACUACUGGAAACGGUAGCUAAUACCGCAUACCAUCAGAUGGGCCCAGAUGGGAUUAGCUUGGUGGUGGGGUAACGGCUCACCAAGGCGACGAUCCCUAGAUGGUCUGAUAGGAUGACCAACCCCCCUGGAACUGAGACACGGUCCAGAAUCCUACGGGAUGCAGCAGUGGGGAAUAUUGCACAAUGGGCGCAAGCCUGAUGCAGCCAUGCCGCGUGUAUGAAGAAGGCCUUCGGGUUGUAAAGUACUUUCAGCGGGGAGGCGUUACCCGCAGAAGAAGCACCGGCUAACUCCGUGCCAGCAGCCGCGGUAAUAC
rnacentral:rRNA from 1 species